CAUGCAAGUCGAACGAAGCACUUUAUUUGAUUUCCUUCGGGACUGAUUAUUUUGUGACUGAGUGGCGGACGGGUGAGUAACGCGUGGGUAACCUGCCUUGUACAGGGGGAUAACAGUUGGAAACGGCUGCUAAUACCGCAUAAGCGCACAGCAUCGCAUGAUGCAGUGUGAAAAACUCCGGUGGUAUAAGAUGGACCCGCGUUGGAUUAGCUAGUUGGUGAGGUAACGGCCCACCAAGGCGACGAUCCAUAGCCGACCUGAGAGGGUGACCGGCCACAUUGGGACUGAGACACGGCCCAAACUCCUACGGGAGGCAGCAGUGGGGAAUAUUGCACAAUGGGCGAAAGCCUGAUGCAGCGACGCCGCGUGAGCGAAGAAGUAUUUCGGUAUGUAAAGCUCUAUCAGCAGGGAAGAUAAUGACGGUACCUGACUAAGAAGCACCGGCUAAAUACGUGCCAGCAGCCGCGGUAAUACGUAUGGUGCAAGCGUUAUCCGGAUUUACUGGGUGUAAAGGGAGCGCAGGCGGUGCGGCAAGUCUGAUGUGAAAGCCCGGGGCUCAACCCCGGUACUGCAUUGGAAACUGUCGUACUAGAGUGUCGGAAGGGUAAGCGGAAUUCCUAGUGUAGCGGUGAAAUGCGUAGAUAUUAGGAGGAACACCAGUGGCGAAGGCGGCUUACUGGACGAUAACUGACGCUGAAGCUC
rnacentral:rRNA from 1 species